ensembl:scaRNA
UUACUAUGGGGCUAUGGAAGAGACAUCCUUUCCUCCUUAGCCAGGGCUAAGAUCAGCUCUUGAGGAUGGAUCAUUGUUGGGACUGCCAUAAGAUUGUCAGCCUUAUUUUCCUACCUCAGAUAUUU